CCUACGGUCGGCAGCAGUGAGGAAUAUUGGUCAAUGGGCGCGAGCCUGAACCAGCCAAGUAGCGUGAAGGAUGACUGCCCUACGGGUGUUAAACUUCUUUUAUAAGGGAGUAAAGUGAGGCACGUGUGCCUUUUUCUAUUUACUUUAUGAAUAAGGAUCGGCUAACUCCGUUCCAGCAGCCGCGGUAAUACGGAGGAUCCGAGCGUUAUCCGGAUUUAUUGGGUUUAAAGGGAGAGUAGAUGGGUUGUUAAGUCAGUUGUGAAAGUUUGCGGCUCAACCGUAAGAUUGCAAAUGAUACUGGCAGCCUUGAGUACAGUUGAGGUAGGCGGAAUUCGUGGUGUAGCGGUGAAAUGCUUAGAUAUCACGAAGAACUCCGAUUGCGAAGGCAGCGUACUAAAAUGCAACAGACAUUGAGGCCCGAAAGUGUGGGUAUCAAACAGGAUUAGAUACCCGUGUAGUC
rnacentral:rRNA from 1 species